rnacentral:rRNA from 1 species
GACGAACGCUGGCGGCGUGCUUAACACAUGCAAGUCGAACGGAAAGGCCCUGCUUGCAGGGUGCUCGAGUGGCGAACGGGUGAGUAACACGUGGGUGAUCUGCCCCUUACUUUGGGAUAAGCCUGGGAAACUGGGUCUAAUACUGGAUAGGACCAUGCUGUAGGUGGUGUGGUGGAAAGAUUAGUUUCGGUCAGGGAUGAGCUCGCGGCCUAUCAGCUUGUUGGUGGGGUAAUGGCCUACCAAGGCGUCGACGGGUAGCCGGCCUGAGAGGGUGGACGGCCACAUUGGGACUGAGAUACGGCCCAGACUCCUACGGGAGGCAGCAGUGGGGAAUAUUGCACAAUGGGCGCACGCCUGAUGCAGCGACGCCGCGUGGGGGAUGACGGCCUUCGGGUUGUAAACUCCUUGCAGCCAUGACGAAGCCCUUGUGGUGACGGUAGUGGUAGAAGAAGCACCGGCUAACUACGUG